UGGAUUAUAUAGAAAAAAUUUAUUAUUUUUUUAAAAAAAUAUUGUUGGAAGGUUAAAAAAAAUAUUUAAUAUUAGCAGAAAGAUGGAAUUUUUGUCCAACCAGAAUAGAAAUUUUUGUGAAUUUGAGAUUGUUCUUUUGUUUUCAUUGUGGUUCUCUUCACUUGUAUCUCAGUUUAGAAACCCUGAUUUUAUAUAUUUAAGCGCCAUAUUGUAUAAUUUUAAAGAACAAAAGAAAAAAGAAGUUAUUUAAUGUUGAUAAUGUUUGUUAGCCCAUGCUAAAUCUAUCCUUAGGUAAAAAUGCUAGUAAAACUUUUGUAUGUUCUGUUAUCUCUGCAAUGAAAUUAAUCAUCUUGGUUUAUUUGAACUCCUUUGCAGAUGGAUCUUGUUCAAGUGAAUCAUGAUUGGAGUUGCAUUGAAGAUGAGUCUUCUGAGCAAUCACUUUGUCCAGAGGCUCUUGGCAUAAGUGAUGCCUUCAGAGAUCCUGAGCUGCUUCCUCGCAUAGGUGAUCAAUACCAGGUUGAGAUUCCAUCUCUUAUGACACAAUCUGCCUACCUCUUGGUCACAGAGAUGACAAAUGAUCCAACAAUCUUCCGUGGUACUUCCCAUGAUUUUUUAGUGGGAUUACCCAUAUCACUAAUGUGGAUCAAGGAGGAAGUCAAGAACAUGAAACAUGAACACCAAGAAUUUCCAGGUGAUUUGAAUGGCUUGUCAAGUAGAAACGAAUCCAUAAAACAUGAAAGCAUUACAGAGAUGCAGAUUUUUCCAGGAGGUGAGUUACAAGUUAAGAUUGAGCCUAUGGACAUUACACUCAAUGGGGUAGUAGAAGACAGAGAACCUGCAAAGUUAGGUAUGCAAGAAGAAAAAAAGAUUCAAAUGCAUCAGCAGCAUGGAGGCAAAGGCUACCUUAUGGUUCCUGGUUCUUUGGGUGUUGCAUGGAAUGAUUUUGAGGAGGCCAGUUUCCUUCUUGGUUUAUAUAUAUUUGGAAAGAAUCUUGUUCAAGUAAAGAAAUUUGUUGAGAGCAAAAAGAUGGGCGAUAUACUUUCAUUUUAUUAUGGGAAGUUUUAUAGGUCUGAAAGAUACAAUAGAUGGUCAGAAUGCCGGAAAAUAAGAAGUAGAAAAUGUAUAUUUGGACAAAGGAUUUUUACAGGAUCCACUCAACAAGAAUUGCUAUCUCGUUUGUUUUUAAAUGUCUCAGAGGAAUGCAAAAAUACUUUAAUUGAGGUUUCUAAGACAUUUGGAGAGGGGAAAAUUUUGCUAGAAGAAUAUGUAUCAACCUUAAAAGCUACAGUUGGAUUGAACACCUUUGUUGAGGCUGUGGGAAUUGGCAAAGGGAAGCAAGACCUGACAGGCAUAGUGAUGGAGCCUCUUAAGUCAAAUCAAGGUGCUUCUGUUCGUCCAGAAAUACCAGUUGGCAAAGCUUGCUCCACCCUUACACCCUUGGAAAUUGUUAACUUCCUAACUGGAGGUUAUCGAUUAAGCAAAGCCCGAUCAAAUGAUCUUUUCUGGGAGGCUGUUUGGCCUCGUUUACUUGCAAGAGGGUGGCAUUCUGAGCAGCCCAAUGAUCAUGGUUUUGCUGCUGCUUCCAGGCAUUAUCUGGUCUUUCUAAUCCCUGGCAUCAAGAAAUUUUCAAGAAGGAAACUAGUGAAAGGAAACCACUAUUUUGAUUCUGUCACUGAUGUCCUGAAUAAAGUUGCUUCAGAUCCAGCUCUUCUUGAGCUUGAUGUUGAAACAGACAAAGGCUAUGGUGACAAGGAAGAAAAUGGGUGGACCAAUGAUAAAAUUCUGGACCAACAAGAUUUUCCUGAUCAGCAACGGCAUUGUUAUCUCAAGCCGCGAACUCCUAGCUGCAGUGCAGAAGUCAUGAAAUUCACUGUUGUUGAUACAAGUCUGGCUAAUGGGGAAACAACCAAAGUCAGAGAAUUGAGAAGCUUACCAGUUGAAAUGAUAAACAUUUCCACCUUCAGAAAUGAUUCUGAAGAAAGUGAUGAAGAUUCUUUUGAGGAUUCAAUAAAUGAAUCUGAUUCUUCUGAUAACUUGUGUUCUGAUCAUAAUAAGACUGAUAUUUCAAAAUCUGCAAAGAUCAAUGUUGACAAGGGAGAUUCAUCUGGCAGGGAAAAUUUUGAAAACAAUGCUUUAAUUCAGUGUUCCCCUAUAAUUGAUUCAGGUUUCACCAAGGUUCCAGUCAAAAUCCCUAAGGAUCAGAACGCUAGCAAGUAUGGUGACAUGCAACCAAGUAAGCAUAUCAAGGGUCAUGCAAUAAAGAGAACAAAACCUGCAGAUAGGAAUGUUUUAGCCCCUGUUGCAAAACGACGGCGAAGAUUAACUGCAUGUGAGCGCACAGCGACAAGCUGUGGUACAGUCAAUGUCUCAGUUGAUCCCAGCUUAGAACAAGAUGAAGUUGGUUGUACUUCAGGAAAUCUGGACUCGCGAGAGAAUAUUCUCUCUCAUCAGGAUUCACAUCAGGCAAAGUUGUCAUCCACCAGUUCUUCAUCCAGGGGCAGCCCUAAUAUUGCAGAUGAAUGCAAUCUAAGUAGCAACUCACCUUUUGCUGGACAUCCUAAUGAGAAAUCUCAGUCUCGGACAUUGAUUGACCUGAACAUACCCAUCCCGCAAGAUGCGGAGACUGAACCUUUAAUGAUGGAAAUGAUAGAAAGACAGCAUAAUCAAGCAAGUGCACAGGCAGAGGAUUCUGUUGUGCUGAAAACUUCCACAUCAGUAUGUGAUUCUACUUCUGAGCAACCUUCUGGCAUCAAUUCUCGUAGACAAAGCACAAGAAACCGACCACUGACCACCAAAGCAUUGGAAGCUCUUGCUUGUGGAUUUUUAAGCAUAAAGCCGAAGCGGAGGAGGGAUGAUUUUUCAAUAGAGAACUCAAUAUCAAGGCCUUCACGACGUGCUCGCAGUAGGGUGAGAGUUACUGAAAACUUCGGAGCUGAUGUAAUGGAUUUCAAAGGAGACGAAAGAGCAAAUGGUGUAUGUACGAGUAGUAGUGACAUGUUCAAUGAGCUUCAUGUUUAGUUUGGGGGGUCCUAAUUUUAGGAUCCAACAUUGGUUGGAUGCUGAUUUACCAACUUGUAAAAUAAGAACAGGGCUUUCAGUGCCUUUUAUAUGGUAAUCAGCUCUGGAAGAAUGAGCAAGUCUUUGCUGCUGAAGUGUCUGUAACAUGAAUAGUAUAGCAAUCCUUUCUUUUUUAGCUUCCGACUGCUGCCGCAUACAUGGCCUCACCUGCUAACUUCAUGAGGCUGUCUAUAUUAGGCAAAGCGCCAUCCGAGGUACUCAACAUCAUUUAGAGAAGAUGGAGGGAGUAGUUGCUUGCCAGUUAAAUAUUUUUUGUUCAACAUGAUUGGACAGAAUAAAUAAUUCAUUAUUUCUGUCUCUCCUUGUCCUGGAAUUUCAUACUUUCACGUUGUUGUUGAAUAGUAAGUUGAAAUUUGACAGUGAAAGGUUGCAGUAGCUCCUGCUAAAUUUAGGAGAUUGUUGAUGUUGAUAAAGAUUCUGGGGGCAUUCAGCUGGUUCAUAGAAGCCAAGUCCACGAAUCUGAAUAAUACCUGUGAUUUCCUUUUUGUGUUGGUUUUGAUUUGAAGUCAUUUAUGGUGAACUGAAAUGUCUGCAUUUUUGCUGUUAUUUCCUGUUAUUGGUUGCAUCCUCACUGAAAUUUUUU
rnacentral:misc_RNA from 1 species